CCUCUCACCCCCUCCCUCACUCCCCCACCCUCUCGCUUCUCCCUCUCCCUCCAAGUCUGGCACUGAACGCGAACUGUUUUGCUUUGCUCUGGGAAGAGUGCAGAGACACACAACGUGAAAUCCCGAGCUUUUUGCGUGGUGCAUUUAAAAUGCUUCCUUAUUUAUAUUACCCUCAUUCCCUCACCUCCCCCCACCCCCUCACCAGUCCUUCCAAAUUUCCCUAGAAAUCUAUGUAAAGCAUGCGGAAGGGAAAACAUUUGCACAAAAAGUGAAGGAGCUCGCCAAGGAGCGUCAACGACCAAGAGGAGACCAGAUGAGUUUUCAAAGCAGUCCUCACACACCCAGGACACACCUCAUCCUUUGCCUCGUGCUUUCUGCAAUGUUGCUGUUCACGUUCAUCUUCCUAUUAACCCUUGCCAUAAGAACCCCUUAUUGACCACCAUCCUUCCUCCAUCCACCACCCACUCAGCUCCUUCUCUGUGUGCCGUCUAAUGGGCAGUGGCUUUUGUCUCUAUUUGGCAAAUUAUGCCCAGAUGGUUAACAUUAAUUUCUCUUUCUCCUAUCCCUCCCUCAUGCUAGACUCAGUCCAACGGUCAGCCACUUGUCAGGAAAAACAUAGCAAAUCCUACUUUCUGCCAAAAUCAAGUUACAAGACACUUUUCCAGAGCAGUCACACUCAAUGAAGGGACUCAAAGUAUAUCUGAGUGUGACGUAAUUGAAACCACAUGGAGAGACUAGAAAUCCCUUGCUCCCAGUCAGAUAUAGUGAAAGGGCUUACUCAAGACUGGACUGAUUGAGAAUGUAGCGGGGCUAGGGAGGAGAAAGAGAAAGAUCCUCAGAAGUAGAUUGUCCCUGAAUACAGGAUGAAAUCUUCUAGAUUUUUUUUUCUCCAAUUAAAUUUGCAUUUCAUUCAACC